rnacentral:rRNA from 1 species
UACGUAGGGUGCAAGCGUUAAUCGGAAUUACUGGGCGUAAAGCGUGCGCAGGCGGUUGUGCAAGACAGAUGUGAAAUCCCCGGGCUCAACCUGGGAACUGCAUUUGUGACUGCACGGCUGGAGUGCGGCAGAGGGGGAUGGAAUUCCGCGUGUAGCAGUGAAAUGCGUAGAUAUGCGGAGGAACACCGAUGGCGAAGGCAAUCCCCUGGGCCUGUACUGACGCUCAUGCACGAAAGCGUGGGGAGCAACAGG